rnacentral:pre_miRNA from 1 species
AAAGUACUCCCUUCGUCCGGGAUGACUUGUCGGAGAAAUGGAUGAAUCUAGACGUAUUAUAGCGUUAGAUACAUUCAUUUUUAUCCAUUUCCAUGACAAAUAAUUCCGGACGGAGGGAGUCCAUG